CCUACGGGGGGCAGCAGUGGGGAAUAUUGCACAAUGGGGGAAACCCUGAUGCAGCGACGCCGCGUGAGUGAAGAAGUAAUUCGUUAUGUAAAGCUCUAUCAGCAGGGACGAAAAUGACGGUACCUGAGUAAGAAGCCCCGGCUAACUACGUGCCAGCAGCCGCGGUAAGACGUAGGGGGCAAGCGUUAUCCGGAUUUACUGGGUGUAAAGGGAGCGUAGACGGCAGUGCAAGUCUGGAGUGAAAGGCGGGGGCUCAACCCCCGGACUGCUCUGGAAACUGUACGGCUGGAGUGCAGGAGAGGUAAGUGGAAUUCCUAGUGUAGCGGUGAAAUGCGUAGAUAUUAGGAGGAACACCAGUGGCGAAGGCGGCUUACUGGACUGUAACUGACGUUGAGGCUCGAAAGCGUGGGGAGCAAACAGGAUUAGAUACCCCAGUAGUC
rnacentral:rRNA from 1 species